rnacentral:rRNA from 1 species
UACGUAUGUUGCGAGCGUUGUCCGGAAUUAUUGGGCGUAAAGAGCUUGUAGGCGGUUUGUCGCGUCUGCUGUGAAAAUCCGGGGCUCAACCCCGGACUUGCAGUGGGUACGGGCAGACUAGAGUGUGGUAGGGGAGACUGGAAUUCCUGGUGUAGCGGUGAAAUGCGCAGAUAUCAGGAGGAACACCAGUGGCGAAGGCGGUGCUCUGGGCCGGAACUGACGCUGAGGAGCGAAAGCGUGGGGAGCAAACAGG